rnacentral:rRNA from 1 species
UACCUGCAGCUCGAGUGGUAACCGCUAUUAUUGGGCCUAAAGCGUCCGUAGCCGGUUUGGUAAAUAUCUGGGUAAAUCGUGAGGCUUAACUUCACGAAUUUCGGAUAGACUGCCAGACUUGGGAGUCGGGGGAGGCCAGAGGUACUCCAGGGGUAGCGGUGAAAUGUUGUAAUCCUUGGAGGACCACCGGUAGCGAAGGCGUCUGACUAGAACGAGUCCGACGGUGAGGGACGAAGCCCUGGGGCGCAAACCGGAUUAGAUACCCGGGUAGUCCAGGGUGUAAACGAUGUGGGCUUUGUAUUGGAGGUCCCACGUGGGCGUCCAGUGCAGAAGAGAAGUUGUUAAGCCCACCGCCUGGGAAGUACGGUCGCAAAGGCUAGAAACUUAAAGGAAUUGGCGGGGGAGCACAGCAACGGGAGGAGCGUGCGGUUU